GGUCCGGUGGUGGAAUGGUAACACACCUAAUUUCUGUAAGCAAUGAAUUUGGUUCUUAAGUGGGAGAUCCUUGUUCAACUCGAGGUCAGGCUA